AUGAGAGGAAGAAGAUGGAUGGAUGACCAAGCCACUUGUUGGGUGAAGAAGACCCGUUUACUAAAAAGAUGCAGAAAUGACUCCACCUUUUCGGCGAACAUCAUCCAGAGGAUUCAUAGACUUUCCCUCAUUAAUCAGACCCUAGAUCAACGUCAUGGUGAGAUUCGGUCUGUAGAAGCUGUCCGGAUGGACCGCCUCAGUCUG
rnacentral:lncRNA from 1 species